AAUUUGGAUUAAUACCCCAUAGUGUAUUAAUGAGGCAUCUCAUUUUUAUUAAAGAUUUAUCGGUUAUGGAUGGCUAUGCGUCCUAUUAGUUUGUUGGUGAGGUAAUGGCUCACCAAGGCUACGAUAGGUAGGGGUUCUGAGAGGAAUGUCCCCCACACUGGUACUGAGACACGGACCAGACUCCUACGGGAGGCAGCAGUGAGGAAUAUUGGACAAUGGGCGCAAGCCUGAUCCAGCCAUGCCGCGUGCAGGAAGAAGGCUUUCUAGUUGUAAACUGCUUUUAUUCACGAGGAAUACGUCCCUUGCGAGGGAUUUUGACGUUAGUGUUUGAAUAAGCACCGGCUAACUCCGUGCCAGCAGCCGCGGUAAU
rnacentral:rRNA from 1 species